UACGUAGGGUGCGAGCGUUGUCCGGAAUUAUUGGGCGUAAAGGGCUCGUAGGCGGUUUGUCGCGUCGGGAGUGAAAACUCAGGGCUUAACCCUGAGCCUGCUUCCGAUACGGGCAGACUAGAGGUAUGCAGGGGAGAACGGAAUUCCUGGUGUAGCGGUGAAAUGCGCAGAUAUCAGGAGGAACACCGGUGGCGAAGGCGGUUCUCUGGGCCUGUACUGACGCUGAGGAGCGAAAGCGUGGGGAGCGAACAGG
rnacentral:rRNA from 1 species